UACGUAGGGGGCGAGCGUUGUCCGGAUUUAUUGGGCGUAAAGAGCUCGUAGGCGGUUCGAUAAGUCGGAUGUGAAAUCUCCACGCUCAACGUGGAGAGGCCAUUCGAUACUGUCGUGACUCGAGUCCGGUAGGGGAGUGUGGAAUUCCCGGUGUAGCGGUGAAAUGCGCAGAGAUCGGGAGGAACACCCGUAGCGAAGGCGGCACUCUGGGCCGGUACUGACGCUGAGGAGCGAAAGCGUGGGGAGCGAACAGG
rnacentral:rRNA from 1 species